GAUGAAGAACGUAGUGAAAUGCGAUAAGUAGUGUGAAUUGCAGAAUUCAGUGAAUCAUCGAAUCUUUGAACGCACAUUGCGCCCGCCAGCACUCUGGCGGGCAUGCCUGUUCGAGCGUCAUUUCAACCAUCAAGCCCCCAGGGGCUUGUGCUGGGGCCCUGCGGCUGCCCGCAGGCCCUGAAAACCAGUGGCGGGCUCGCUAGUCACACCGAGCGCAGUAGCACAUCUCGCUCAGGGCGUGCGGCGGGCUCCUGCCGUGAAACCCCCCACUGUAACCCCAAAGGUUGACCUCGGAUCAGGUAGGAAUACCCGCUGAACUUAAGCAUAUCAAUAAGCGGAGGA
rnacentral:misc_RNA from 1 species